rnacentral:rRNA from 1 species
AACGUAGGACGCAAGCGUUAUCCGGAAUUACAGGGCGUAAAGCGCGUGUAGGCGGAUGUUUAAGUCACUGUUGAAAGCUCUUGGCUAAACUGGGAGAGGUGCGGUGAUACUGGACAUCUAGAGGGGGUCAGAGGGAUGCAGAAUUCCGGGUGUAGUGGUGAAAUGCGCAGAGAUCCGGAGGAAUACCAGAGACGAAGGCGGCAUCCUGGGGCUUCACUGACGCUGAGACGCGAAACCAUGGGGAGCGAACGGG